CAAGUGAUUUUUGCUGUGGUAUUUCUAUAGCUAUAGAUAAGCAAGACUGUUUCUCAAGAGGUUCAGAUAAUCAGUUCUAGCUUAAUUUUCAUUUACUUGAAUGUUCUAUUUUAACUUUUUGAUAGCAAACAACAAAACAUCAGAAUAUAGGAUAAAUAGAAGAUACUACUCCAUCUGUAAUGAUGCUCUAUAUUUAGCAUAUUGCACUGCCAUUCAAGACCUAACUCUAAAAUGCUGACUCCUGUAAUGCUAGCUAAAAUGCUGGCUUGUUUAACAGGCAGUUCCAGGAUACAGUGACACUAACUGCAGGCCAAAUUGCUGCACUGCAUGACUUAGAGUACCAAAUGUGAGUAUCAGGUAUUUACCUCCUGUACUUGUGUACGAAAGCCCUGAUCAUGUAAUGGUGUUGAGAAUAUUUUUAUUAUUCAAGCCUUAAGGACAACUAGUGAACCACUUUCUUGCUCAAAGUUCAGCCUAUGCUUUAAGCAUUGUGUUGAAAUAGGUCUUAAAUGUCUAUAGAACCCUUCGCCUUUACAGUGAGAAGUAAAUACCCUUGGCUGUGUUCUGCCCCCUUGGCUGGUGGAAGUUAAAUUGUGUACUCAGUUUCACAUUUCUAUUUCUAUUGACAAUCUGAUGCCACCACUAAACAGAUGGCAUUGGAAAGCCCUGGGCAGCAAUUCUAAAGUCACUGCGCAGGAACAGAAAUCAGCGGGCCUGAAGAUCAUGAGAUUCCACAGAAGAUUUUCUCAGGCCGCCAUUUUGUGAUUAACUGAAAUUAUGGUGUCGCACACAUGGAACUGAAAACUUUUUCCUCCAUUAGCAAGUAUGGAUCUCCAUGCCAACAAAAAAACACAUUUUUCAGCUGAAUGUUUCUAUUAAUAUUCAUACACAGUAUGAAAGAAAUACUCAGACUUUCAGCUGUCUUUUGUCAGCGCUGUUCAAGAUCUGCGAGAACACAUCAACAAAAUGGCAGCGUGGCAGGUCUCCUGGUUGUCUCUUGGCUGGUUUGCAGAGAGGCUUUCUACAAAAGGAGGUGGUGAGCGUAAAGAGAACUGGAACUGUGCAUCCCUUCUUGCCAAAGAUUUAUCAUACAGUAUUUUAUAUUUAGAAACAACUUGGCUGGCAUUUCUCCUACUGCACAAAUGUAAAAUGAGUGAGGUUAUCAUAGCAUGAAAGAGAAAUGUGAGAGAGAAGACCUACUUUUCAAUUGUUCUGUUUGAAAACUCAUACUUUAUUUCACAACAAGCAAUGAGAUUCACUUAAAUGUAUUCUGCGUUGGAAGAAACUGGGCAUUCCUCAUUAUGUGAGAAUAUUUCUGAAUGAAGACCUUCUGUAUUGUUUUCCAUUUCCUUAAGAAGGCCUUAGACUGUACCAGCUGUCUAAACAUAUUUACAGUCUCUGCACUGCUGCAAAACCACUGUAGUGGAAUUUGUGUAAGGGUCAAAGGUAGCAUAACUGAAGAGUUCUUGUUUGGGGGUUGUUUUUUAACAGACAAGAAGAUAGCCAUGCAUUUUCUGCAAGCAUAGCUACACAUAUAGAUGGCUCAUUGUAGAAGCAUUUGUUAAUCUUGAUUAGAGAUUCAACCUAAGUGACUGUUGAUCAUUUGGGAAGCUUUAUUUUUUUUUAAAUGUAGUUCUACAUUUUGUAGCUUGCUUUUGACUUACCUAUUGCUCUCUACUCCCUCUUUCCUUUCUUUUUUUAAAAUUUAUUUAUUCAAUGCUAGUUGAGCAACAACAUCAAACCCCUUCUCUCUCAGUGUACUUGCCAGAUUAAUUUUACCUUUACUUAUUCACUGUGGGGGGGGGGGGGGGGCGGGCCGGGAGGAGGGCAGUAAACGUUUUGGGUAAGAUGAUAACAACAUCUGAAGCCAGGAGCUGAAAUGAGAUCAGAUCAAGCUUACCUAAAUGCAGAUAAGAAAUUUAACUGUUCACUUGAAUCAAAUGCUCAAAAUUUGAAGGUUAAUAUCAUUUCUGAAAUUGCUAUUUGGAGAAUCCCUCCCCCAUCCUCCAGGAAAGACAUCUGGCUAGCACUGAAUGGAGUUUAGUGUUUGAACGUCCCAUCUGGUUUCAUCAUGUUAACACAUGAUUCCAAGUCAUUCAAGAAGUAGGAACAAUGGAUAUUGUAUUCCAUAUGCUGCCAUGUGGAUUUAAUCUUUAAAAGAUGGCACUGUAGAUCUUAACCUUUUAGUAAAAAAGGUCAAAACAUUUAAUGUACAGCAAACUUAUUUCCCAUAGUCUCAGGAAUGUCUUGAAUUUUAUCUUACUCUAAAAGCAAUAAGCAUAAGACGCCUUUCUUAUAUAGUAUCAUUCCCAUUCUUAACCAUCAUAUCUUGAUAAAUCAAGAACACAAUUCCUAAACAUGGCAUUGAAAAGAGACGUUAUGACAGACUUUCACAUAAUUUCAUGGGAAAUUAUUUCAUUAUUUCAGAUGACUUCCACGUUGCUUAAAAGCAAAUGUUGAAAUUUGCUAUAAGGCAAAUGGAAGAUGGGCACUCUUGCCUUCCAUGCCUAGUAACUACCUUUUACUGGAAAUUAACAAAACCUACAAAGCAUCUCUUCCAAAUAAAUGGUGAGUGUUUUCAUCAGACCAGUAUUACUCUGUCUCAGUGAUGUUGAAAAGAACAUCUCAUUCCUCUCCUCUUUAAUAAAAAAUCAAAUUUCAAUUAACAUCUCUUAUUCAAAAACUUUUAAUACGUGUAUUUCUUCAUAAAAAUGACUGACCCAAGGUCCUGUAACAGUGAUCUCAACAAGUAUUUUCUAUAUUUAUUAAUUCAUCCCUAGUAGGAGCAAAUAUUCAAUAAGUGCCUUGUUAUGAAAAGUCAAUAGAACCAAUUCCAAACUGAAAGAGCUUCAUAGAAAGUUCAGAUGUAAGCAAGUAUUUAAAUAUUUGCUAACUGUCCUUUAAGAAGAUAAUAAAAGUAGAUUGUUUCAUUUGAGCACUUGGAAAAAAGAAUGAAUUUUACCUGUUAGGGUGAGAAGAUGGGGAAGUAAAUAAAGAGAUUUGGGAGAAAAAACAUCUUUUUAAUGGAAUGAAGCACAGCAAAUGUUUGAAAAUUUACACCAUGUGUGUGAACAUGUCAUUUUAAAGUCACAUUGCUGAAUCUCAACUCACAUUUUAUUUUUGGUGAUAAGACCCUAGAAGAUGUGAUUUCUCAUCAGAAAUCCCUGGAAAUGGACUAGAAACAGGAACUAGCUCAUCCUCAAAACUGUGAAGCCAGAAUCAAAGUUGUGUAACAAGACAUUAUAGAUUUGGCUGGUGAGGAAAGACAAAGAAUUCAAUGGAGAACGAUAAAGGAGAUUAAAUUACACCAUUCAACAUUUUAUGAACUCAGUUGAAAUUAAUCUUUCCAGUGUCACCACAAUUACCAGCCAGCGCACAGAGUGAAGUAAGCUAGAUAAAAGUAGGUGAGAAAAGCAACAUGGAUCAUGUGACAUCAGGAUUUUCACACCAACAUCUAAAUCAGAAGUAUUUAAGAGGCUAUUGAUGAUGCUUAAAAGAUCACUCUUGUAACCUUGGAAAUUUGUUUACCUCAUGUUGUUUCGGUUGACAAAACCUACCCAGAUAAUCAGAACUAUAUUAUUUGGAGCUUGAAGGGGCAAAAGAGGAAAACAUAAAUGCUCCAAUUUGCAUUACAUACAUGAAUGACUUGUGGGAGGAACUAGCGAAAUGCAGCAUAGUUGCAUUGAAGGUUAGCUAUAUCAGUUGGAGAUUUUCCUUAAACAUAUGGAGAUCAUAUAGACUAUUAAAUCAACAUGUUAUAAAGAUUCAAGUGUCACCCCAGGCUGACUACCACAGGGAAAUCAUUGAACUUCCUAAUUUACGAACAGAACUAGAGAAUGCAAGAUUAGAAUACAGAUGAUCAAACUUUGCUGUAUUUAAUAUGCUGUCUCAUUCUUCCUAUCAUCUUUAAUAAUUAAAUAAUUAAUUAGUGAUUGUGUUCAUUGAUGACCACCUUGGUUUUACAGAACUAAAAGAGAACUGUUUGGUUCAUUUUGUAAUAAUGCUUUCACCUUUUUACAAGUAAUAAUGGUUGAGCACUCAUUCAGUAGAUUCACGCAAGCUGCAGCAGACAGCCUGUGUGAGAAAGUCCUGAGAGCGUGUCGAAUUCAAGUACUCUGUCUAGAAAGGCAUAGCUUUUGAGUUAUCAAGACCUACUCCUUCAGUUCCUUAUGUUGGCAGGCACAGAGUCUCCAAAAUACACAAUAUUUUUCUGUCUGCAAUUAUUAACACAGUAAAUGUUAGGAGGCUCCUUCAAUCAUUUGUAGCACCUAAAUUACCACAAGCACUCAUCAGGCACUAAACAGAAAAAGGGAAAACAGAACUGAAGUACUAAACCAAACCAGUGUGAAAACACAUCUAAGAUCUUAUAUUUCUUUAGCAUUAUGGGACAGGAAAAGCAUGCAAGAGCCUUGCUUAAAGAGAACUAAAAAUAUCCUGUCUUCUAGGACUUAGAGAGUUGGUUAGGCCUUAUUGGUUCCAUAUAAGCAUUUUGCGCAACGUGACUUCUCUUUUUACAAUGGAAAUCUUUGACUUCUCACACAAGGUCUAGAGUUACAGUUGGUUCUACUCGUGAUUGGUUUUGCUUAAGAUGCAGCCAGAAAAAUACAAAGAUGUAGCAAGACUUUCCAAAGGAGGAAGAAUUCAUUCAAAGUACUUGCCAUAAAACAGCUACAAGUUAGACCACACUGGCCUAGCUAAACCACACAAUCAAGUAAUCAACAGCAGUAUGUCCAUUUUAAGAGGGCCGUAACAGCACCUGAUAGAACUGUUGUUACUGAAUCAGCGCUUCUCUGAUUUGUGUUGUGUGGGAUGGUAAUGGUAACUUUUGGUUCUAGAAUGGAGUAAAGAAUAUGUAUUUUCCAGUACAUUGUAUUCAAUCAUCUUGCUCCUACCUAUGCUAAACUUCAUAAAAAAUAGAAUGCUUCCACUAUUGUAUUCUGCACUAGGAAGGAUGGAUAUCUCAGCAGUUUGAUUUAAGUUCCAGCAUUAAGAUAAAAUUAAGUAGCUUUAGUGAAUGUGUCUACUCUUGCUGGAUAUCUACACAGAGUUGCCAUUAACUGAAGCUAAAAGGUUGUCCUAAUACAAAGGUUUGCAAGGGCAGUCUAAAUUCUGAGUUGGACUUUGAUUAUUUGUAAAUCAUGGCUAGCCGUAUGGAGGCUCUAAGUGCAUUAUGAUCCAAAUAACUAAAUUCAAAUUUAAAUCUUUUCUCCAUUAAUAUAACUAAGACAUUUGUGCACAGCAGACAUUUGAAAUCUCAGUCUCUCCCUCUUGCUAAUACAAUCUUGUUUUUCCACAUAUAAAUGGCAAGCUGCCAAUUAGGGAAGUACACACACUGCAAUGCAAAGGAAAAUAAGCAGAUAUGUCUGUAUGUAUAACUACAAGUCAGAGUAUUGUCUGGUGCAGCUGGAGUGAAAAACACUCCAAAAAAGCUAAUUACAACUCCAGUCUUUAUUAUUAUAAGCUAAAGCCUUUGUGAGCUAGAGUUACAUUCUUCACUACGUUUUAUUAGUUGUAUUUAAGUUUUACUUUGUUUUUCUUCUUCCCCCAAUUCAAACCCAUGAAAAUAAAAUUGUGUCAAAGCCAUUAAAACAAAACAACAACAACAAAAAAAAGGCAAUUUAUCAAGCCAUAGAACAAAGAACACUUCUCUUCAUUCUUUCCAUUACCUCUGUGGAAGAGCCUUUUAGCUGCUUUUAGUUCUACGUAGAACAAUUCCAAUAUACACAUCACAGUUUCAUUAAAAUAUCUACCAAAGAAAACCUAUUAGUAUGGACUGAAACACUUUUAUAAAGCUUCCUUUUCCCUUAAGGGAGGAAAGAGCAAGUUACUGGUGAAGUCAGUGGGUGACCCACACUCCUGUUCCAGAUUCAGAGUGGUGUAAAACGAGAAACUCCCUUUUGCUCACUCCCUGACUGGCAUGCUGUGGGAAGACACGUUAAGAUUACUUCCCGUUAUUCAUUCCAGAGUAAAACAAAGGAAAUUGAUAAUAUUUCAGACAUUGCAAUACAAUAACAUAGAAAUCUAAACAAUUCUGUAUGGUAUAUCACAUACAUACAGCCAUAUAUCAACCUCAAAACCUGGUGGUAAUCAUCUGUUCAGCAUACUGAAGAAAACAUACAAAAUUUACAAAACUACGAACACCUGUGUUCUCUAUCUAUAUUUUCUGUCCAGGUACUGAAAGCAUCUUGACCAUCUACAAGGUCAGCACUGUUGUUGAACUGGACAAAAUAAAAAUACAACCAUCGUCAUAUUCAUCCUCCUCUCUAGUUAAAAAUGAGAGACUGAGCAUAACUAAAUUUGUAGGCUCUAUAAUCUCUGCAUGACUGUGUUGCAUGCUCUCCACAUGAAAGGCUUCUUGUGCCACACUGCUCAACAUAAGCUGCUUUGCUGUAAUUCAUAGACCACUUCUGUACAGGAGCAUUGCCAUUUUUCAUUUGCAAAAAGCAACUAUAUGAAGUGUUAGAACUUUCAGAAAUAGAAAAAUGUGUCCUACUUUUAACUUAACAGAAAGCGGCAUUUCAUCUUAUAGCCUUGCCAGUGCACUUGUUAGUAAUGUGAUGUGAUGUGUCAUGUAGGUUGAAGUGAAGUUGUUUGCCUCAAGGAUCAAGUGCCACUUCUCACCAGAAAUGCAAGAUUUCACUUCAUGUUUGACUUCUAAUUCACAAGUAGUAUUGCUUCUGAAUAUCAACUUUUCUGUCAAGCUGGAAAAUAGUGAUUCAUGAAGUUAAACUUCAAGUGCUGUUGCACCAUUUUUAACAGAAACUCCUUCAGAAAACAUUGCUAAGGAUUAAAAGGAAAUCUGUGUUCAAAAACAUAUAUACUGACUCCAAAAUAGCUCUUUACCAUCCAGUAGUAAAUCAACUGUUUUAGACAGAUCUCUUCAUUCUUCCUAAAUUUUCACUGAAAUAUCAUGUGGAACAGAACAAAUUUUCAACUCUAAAAUAGAAAUUUUGUGGGCUGGAAAAAGUGAGUUUUCUGCUUUCCUGUGGUCAUAAAAAUAUUUAUCAGUUUCCCAGUUAAAAAAAUAGCAAUGAAUGGUAUAGUGAUUCAUUUCUGUUUACGAAGGCCUUCGUAUAAAUCAGCAAUCUAACAUUCAGUGGUCACACAUAUUCAACAGAGUCAUGCUACUUAACCUCACCUUCACACAGGCAUAACCACGCGGCCCCCAUUAAGUUUUCUAUUUAAUCUAAUGGACCAGAAGGACCUCAGAGUUGCUUUAAAAAAAAAAAAAAAAUCCAACGUAUGCAUAAUAAAUAACCCAAGAUAGAACUACAUUGACAAUUUGUAGGAAAAUUUAGCAAGGCAUCUUAUGUAGAAUAGUAUCUACUGCAUAAUUUCUAGUAAAAAGAUUUUAGUCCAUUUUGGACAAGUGCAACCACUUAUGCCAACUUUUCAAAUUAAAGAUCUGGUAAAACCAGUUAAUAAAAACAGAACAAUGCCCUAACUAGUCUUUCAGAUAAUGUAGUUAAUUUUAAUAACAGAACUAUAACAUCACAAUACACACCCACC